UACGUAGGGGGCAAGCGUUAUCCGGAUUUACUGGGUGUAAAGGGGGCGCAGACGGCGAUGCAAGCCAGGAGUGAAAGCCCGGGGCCCAACCCCGGGACUGCUCUUGGAACUGCGUGGCUGGAGUGCAGGAGGGGCAGGCGGAAUUCCUGGUGUAGCGGUGAAAUGCGUAGAUAUCAGGAGGAAAACCGGUGGCGAAGGCGGCCUGCUGGACUGCAACUGACGUUGAGGCCCGAAAGCGUGGGGAGCAAACAGG
rnacentral:rRNA from 1 species